rnacentral:rRNA from 1 species
GACGAACGCUGGCGGCGGGACUAAUACAUGCAAGUAGGACGCAGUUGCGAACGGUUGAGUAACGCGUAGGUAACUACCUAGUAGAGGGGGAUCACUAUUGGAAACGAUAGCUAAUACAGAGUACUAGUAGAUGGACCUGCGUUGUAUUAGCUAGUAGGUAGGGUAAAGGCCUACCUAGGCAACGAUACAUAGCCGACCUGAGAGGGUGAUCGGCCACACUGGGACUGAGACACGGCCCAGACUCCUACGGGAGGCAGCAGUGGGGAAUCUUCGGCAAUGGGGGGAACCCUUACCGAGCAACGCCGAGUUAGUGAAGGAGGUUUUCGGAUCGUAAAGCUCUGUUGUUAAGGAAGCGGUACUUAACCAGAAAGGGACGGCUAACUACGUGCCAGCAGCCGCGGUAAUAC